rnacentral:rRNA from 1 species
GACGAACGCUGGCGGCGUGCCUAAUACAUGCAAGUAGAACGCACAGUUUAUACCGUAGCCUGCUACACCAUAGACUGUGAGUUGCGAACGGGUGAGUAACGCGUAGGUAACCUGCCUGGUAGCGGGGGAUAACUAUUGGAAACGGUAGCUAAUACCGCAUAAUAUUGAUUAUUGCAUGAUAAUUAAUUGAAAGGUGCAAUUGCACCACUACCAGAUGGACCUGCGUUGUAUUAGCUAGUAGGUGAGGUAACGGCUCACCUAGGCGACGAUACAUAGCCGACCUGAGAGGGUGAUCGGCCACACUGGGACUGAGACACGGCCCAGACUCCUACGGGAGGCAGCAGUAGGGAAUCUUCGGCAAUGGACGAAAGUCUGACCGAGCAACGCCGCGUGAGUGAAGAAGGUUUUCGGAUCGUAAAGCUCUGUUGUAAGAGAAGAACGGGUGUGAGAGUGGAAAGUUCACACUGUGACGGUAUCUUACCAGAAAGGGACGGCUAACUACGUG